rnacentral:rRNA from 1 species
AACGAACGCUGGCGGCAUGCCUAACACAUGCAAGUCGAACGAUGCCUUCGGGCAUAGUGGCGCACGGGUGAGUAACGCGUGGGAACCUGCCCUGUGGUACGGAAUAACUCCGGGAAACUGGAGCUAAUACCGUAUGUGUCCCCUGUGACAAAGAUUUAUCGCCACGGGAUGGGCCCGCGUAGGAUUAGCUUGUUGGUGGGGUAACGGCCUACCAAGGCUACGAUCCUUAGCUGGUCUGAGAGGAUGAUCAGCCACACUGGGACUGAGACACGGCCCAGACUCCUACGGGAGGCAGCAGUGGGGAAUAUUGGACAAUGGGCGCAAGCCUGAUCCAGCAAUGCCGCGUGAGUGAUGAAGGCCUUCGGGUUGUAAAGCUCUUUCGCACGCGACGAUGAUGACGGUAGCGUGAGAAGAAGCCCCGGCUAACUUCGUG